GGGGAUUUAGCUCAGUGGUUGAGCGCUUGCCUAGCAAGCGCAAGGCCCUGGGUUCAGUCCCCA
rnacentral:tRNA from 1 species